UACGGAGGGGGGCUAGCGUUUGUUCGGAAUUACUGGGCGUAAAGCGCACGUAGGCGGCUUUGCAAGUUAGAGGUGAAAGCCCGGAGCUCAACUCCGGAACUGCCUUUAAAACUGCAUCGCUUGAAUCCAGGAGAGGUGAGUGGAAUUCCGAGUGUAGAGGUGAAAAUUCGUAGAUAUUUCGGAAGAACACCAGUGGCGAAGGCGGCUCACUGGACUGGUAUUGACGCUGAGGUGCGAAAGCGUGGGGAGCAAACAGG
rnacentral:rRNA from 1 species